GACGAACGCUGGCGGCGUGCUUAACACAUGCAAGUCGAACGGAAAGGCCUCUUUCGGGGGGUACUCGAGUGGCGAACGGGUGAGUAACACGUGAGUAACCUGCCCUCUACUUUGUGAUAACUUCAGAAAACUGGGGCGAAUACCCCAUAUAGGCUCCUGCUGCAUGUUGGGGGUUGUGGAGUUUCGGCGGUUGGGGGUGGACUCGCGGCGUAUCUGCUUGUUGGGGGGGGGGUGGGUUACCAAGGGUUUGACGGGUAGCCGGGCUGGGAGGGUGAACGGCCACAUUGGGACUGAGGUACGGGCCAGACUCCUACGGGAGGGAGCAGGGGGGAAUAUUGCACAAUGGGUGGAAGCCUGAUGGAGCAAAGCCGGGGGCGGGAUGACGGCCUUUGGGUUGGAAACCGGUUUCGCUCAUGACGAAGCUUUGUGUGACGGUAGUGGGUAAAGAAGCACCGGCUAACUACGUG
rnacentral:rRNA from 1 species